rnacentral:rRNA from 1 species
AUUGAACGCUGGCGGCAUGCUUUACACAUGCAAGUCGAGCGGCAGCGCGGGGGCAACCCUGGCGGCGAGCGGCGAACGGGUGAGGAAUACAUCGGAACGUGCCCGAGAGUGGGGGAUAACGCCGCGAAAGCGGCGCUAAUACCGCAUAUUCUCUGAGGAGGAAAGUGGGGGACCGCAAGGCCUCACGCUCACGGAGCGGCCGAUGUCGGAUUAGCUAGUUGGUGGGGUAAAGGCUUACCAAGGCGACGAUCCGUAGCUGGUCUGAGAGGAUGAUCAGCCACACUGGGACUGAGACACGGCCCAGACUCCUACGGGAGGCAGCAGUGGGGAAUUUUGGACAAUGGGGGCAACCCUGAUCCAGCCAUGCCGCGUGCGGAAG